AAAGGGGGCAACCCUGAGUAAAGUGGCGUACGGGUGAGUAACACGUGGGUAAUCUACCUCUUAGUGGGGAAUAACCCUGGGAAACCGGGGCUAAUACCGCAUAAGCUCGAGAGAGGAAAGCAGCAAUGCGCUGAGAGAGGAGCCCGCGGCCGAUUAGCUAGUUGGCAGGGUAAAAGCCUACCAAGGCAGAGAUCGGUAGCCGGCCUGAGAGGGCACACGGCCACACUGGCACUGAAACACGGGCCAGACUCCUACGGGAGGCAGCAGUGGGGAAUCUUGCACAAUGGGGGCAACCCUGAUGCAGCGACGCCGCGUGAGCGAUGAAGCCCUUCGGGGUGUAAAGCUCUUUCGGCAGGGAAGAUGAUGACGGUACCUGCAGAAGCAGCUGCGGCUAACUACGUGCCAGCAGCCGCGGUAAUACGUAGGCAGCGAGCGUUGUUCGGAGUUACUGGGCGUAAAGGGUGUGUAGGCGGUUCUUUAAGUUUGGUGUGAAAUCUCCCGGCUCAACCGGGAGGGUGCGCCGAAUACUGAGGGACUAGAGUGCGGGAGAGGAAAGUGGAAUUCCUGGUGUAGCGGUGAAAUGCGUAGAUAUCAGGAGGAACACCGGUGGUGUAGACGGCUUUCUGGACCGUAACUGACGCUGAGACACGAAAGCGUGGGUAGCAAACAGGAUUAGAUACCCUGGUAGUCCACGCCCUAAACGAUGCAUAUUUGGUGUGGGUCAUUCAGUUGAUCCGUGCCGGAGCUAACGCGUUAAAUAUGCCGCCUGGGGAGUACAGUCGCAAGGCUGAAACUC
rnacentral:rRNA from 1 species